rnacentral:rRNA from 1 species
UACGUAGGGUGCGAGCGUUGUCCGGAAUUAUUGGGCGUAAAGAGCUUGUAGGCGGUCUGUCGCGUCUGCUGUGAAAAUCCGGGGCUCAACCCCGGACUUGCAGUGGGUACGGGCAGACUAGAGUGUGGUAGGGGAGACUGGAAUUCCUGGUGUAGCGGUGAAAUGCGCAGAUAUCAGGAGGAACACCGAUGGCGAAGGCAGGUCUCUGGGCCACUCACUGACGCUGAGAAGCGAAAGCAUGGGGAGCGAACAGG